GUCUUUUUGAAUUAAAUUUAAAGUCUAACCUGCCCACUGAAAUUUUAAAUGGCCGCAGUAUUCUAACUGUGCAAAGGUAGCAUAAUCAUUAGUCUUUUAAUUGAAGGCUGGAAUGAAUGGUUGGACGAAAUAUUAACUGUUUCAUUUAAAUUUUUUAUAGAAUUUUAUUUUUUAGUCAAAAAGCUAAAAUUUAUUUAAAAGACGAGAAGACCCUAUAAAUCUUUAUAUUUUGUUAAUUUUAAUUAUAAAGAUUAUUUUUGUUAUAAUUAAUUAAAAUAUUUUAUUGGGGUGAUAUUAAAAUUUAAAAAACUUUUAAUUUUUUAAACCAUUAAUAUAUGAAUAAUUGAUCCAUUAAUAAUGAUUAAAAAUUUAAGUUACUUUAGGGAUAACAGCGUAAUUUUUUUGGAGAGUUCAUAUCGAUAAAAAAGAUUGCGACCUCGAUGUUGGAUUAAGAUAUAAUUUUGGGUGUAGCCGUUCAAAUUUUAAGUCUGUUCGACUUUUAAAUUCUU
rnacentral:rRNA from 1 species